rnacentral:rRNA from 1 species
GACGAACGCUGGCGGCAUGCCUAACACAUGCAAGUCGAGCGAGCUGAUCCCUUCGGGGUGAAGCUAGCGGCGGACGGGUGAGUAACACGUGGGCAACCUGCCUCAUAGAGGGGAAUAGCCUUCCGAAAGGAAGAUUAAUACCGCAUAAGAUUGUAGCUUCGCAUGAAGCAGCAAUUAAAGGAGCAAUCCGCUAUGAGAUGGGCCCGCGGCGCAUUAGCUAGUUGGUGAGGUAACGGCUCACCAAGGCGACGAUGCGUAGCCGACCUGAGAGGGUGAUCGGCCACAUUGGAACUGAGACACGGCCCAGACUCCUACGGGAGACAGCAGUGGGGAAUAUUGCACAAUGGGGGAAACCCUGAUGCAGCAAUGCCGCGUGAGUGAUGACGGCCUUCGGGUUGUAAAGCUCUGUCUUCGGGGACGAUAAUGACGGUACCCGAGGAGGAAGCCACGGCUAACUACGUGCCAGCAGCCGCGGUAA